rnacentral:rRNA from 1 species
GGUGAAGUUACAAAGAGCGUAUGGGGGAUGCCUUGGCACUGGAAGGCGAUGAAGGACGUGGUUACCUGCGAUAAGCCUGGGUGAGUCGGAAGCUGACUUUGACCCCGGGAUCUCCGAAUGGGAAAACCCACCGAGGGUAAUGCCUCGGUAUCGUAUACUGAAUACAUAGGUAUACGAAGCAAACCCGCUGAACUGAAACAUCUAAGUAGGCGGAGGAAGAUAAAACAAACGUGAUACCCUGAGUAGUGGCGAGCGAAACGGGUAGAGCCUAAACCAUUUGUGCUGUCAAGCGUGCAAGCGUUGGCGCAAGGGUGUUAUAGGACGGACCGGUGAUCUGCACGAUCAUCAAAGAGUAAAAAAUCAUUAUCAUAGCUAAAGUACCUGGAACGGUACACCAUAGAGGGCGAUCGUCCCGUAAGCGAAAUGGUAAUGACUCUUGUCUGUAUCCUGAGUACGACGGAAUAAGUGAAAGUCUGUCGGAAGUUGCGAGAACCAUCUCGUAAGGCUAAAUACUCUCCAGUGACCGAUAGUGAACUAGUACCGUGAGGGAAAGGCGAAAAGAACCCUUUAGAAGGGAGUGAAAUAGUACCUGAAACCGUGCGCUUACAAACGGUGGGAGCGAGCCCGGAUUUAUCCGGAGGAGUGACUGCGUGCCUUUUGUUUAAUGAGCCUACGAGUUACUCAUCCGUUGCAAGGAUAAGCAAUUAUGUUGCGAAUCCGUAGCGAAAGCGAGUCUGAAUAGGGCGAUUCAGUAACGGGUGGUAGACGCGAAACCUUGUGAUCUAGCGAUGGCCAGGAUGAAGGCUGGGUAAAACCAACUGGAGGUCCGAACGGGUACGGGUUGAAAACUGUUCCGAUGAGCUGUCGUUAGGGGCGAAAGACUAAUCAAACUGGGAGAUAGCUCGUACUCCCCGAAAUGCCUUUAGGGGCAGCGUCAGAUAAGAGUCUUCCGGAGGUAGAGCACUGAUUGGGCUAGGGUCGUCACAACGAUACCAACCCCAGACAAACUCCGAAUUCCGGUAAGAUGUUUUCUGGCAGUGAGGCUGUGGGUGAUAAGAUCCAUUGCCGAGAGGGAAAGAACCCAGACCAUCAGCUAAGGUCCCCAAAUAAUAGUUAACAGAGA